rnacentral:rRNA from 1 species
UUUGGCCUCCAAUCAAGCAAGGCUACCCGCUGAACUUAAGCAUAUCAAUAAGCGGAGGAAAAGAAACCAACAGGGAUUGCCUUAGUAGCGGCGAGCGAACAGGCAAGAGCUCAGAUUUGAAAGCCCUCGGGCAUUGUAUUCUGAAGCCUUGGUCCUGAGAAUAGGUGUUUAAGUCUUCUGGAAAGGAGCGCCAUGGAGGGUGAUAGCCCCGUACGACACCACUCUCAUUGUAGGACUUUGGCAUGGAGUCGAGUUGUUUGGGAAUGCAGCUCAAAUGGGUGGUAUGCUCCAUCUAAAGCUAAAUAUCUGCGAGAGACCGAUAGCGAACAAGUACUGUGAAGGAAAGAUGAAAAGAACUUUGAAAAGAGAGUGAAAAAGUACGUGAAAUUGUUGAAAUGGAAGGAUAGGCCGCUAACCAUGUAGGGUCGUGUUUGAGGGGAAGAUAAAAGCUGAUGAAUGUAGCUCCUCGGAGUGUUAUAGCUUCAGUCCAUAUUCCCUCUCGAGCGCGAGGAUCGAAGACUCUGC